rnacentral:lncRNA from 1 species
CAGAGGAUCACACUUUUCACUGUUUUCAUUCUUUGUCCUCUUCCCCAACAACAGGUGUCCAGCUACCAAUCAGCAUUGAACUGCUCUCCUUCUGGUAGCUGGUUCAGACUGUUGCAUCCAACCAGAAGCCUCUGCAACCUGGAUUGAAGCCAAAGGCAGACACCAGAAUCAGCAAAGAGACCCAGAAGUUCACAAGAGAGGAAAUCCAAGAAAUGAGCCAGCAAUAAAAUCAUCAGUUGUAUACUCACAAUUGCAAAGCAUGAGUAAUAGAAGAUCCUAAUGCAAGGAGGCAUAUUUGACUUCAUG